rnacentral:rRNA from 1 species
GACGUACUAACUUGCGAUAAGCGCAGAUAAGGCAGUAAGAGCCGUUUGAGUCUGCGAUUUCCGAAUGGGGAAACCCAACUGCAUAAGCAGUUACUGUUAACUGAAUACAUAGGUUAACAGAGCAAACCGGGGGAACUGAAACAUCUAAGUACCCCGAGGAGAAGAAAUCAACCGAGAUUCCGGUAGUAGCGGCGAGCGAACCUGGAUUAGCCCUUAAGCACUCGGUGAAGUAGGUGAACAAGCUGGAAAGCUUGGCGAUACAGGGUGAUAGCCCCGUAACCGACGCUUCAUCGAGCGUGAAAUCGAGUAGGGCGGGACACGUGAUAUCCUGUCUGAAUAUGGGGGGACCAUCCUCCAAGGCUAAAUACUCCUGACUGACCGAUAGUGAACCAGUACCGUGAGGGAAAGGCGAAAAGAACCCCUGUGAGGGGAGUGAAAUAGAACCUGAAACCGUGUACGUACAAGCAGUAGGAGCACCUUCGUGGUGUGACUGCGUACCUUUUGUAUAAUGGGUCAGCGACUUAUAUUCAGUGGCAAGGUUAACCGUAUAGGGGAGCCGUAGCGAAAGCGAGUCUUAACUGGGCGCUCAGUCUCUGGAUAUAGACCCGAAACCGGGUGAUCUAGCCAUGGGCAGGUUGAAGGUUGAGUAACAUCAACUGGAGGACCGAACCGACUAAUGUUGAAAAAUUAGCGGAUGACUUGUGGCUAGGGGUGAAAGGCCAAUCAAACUCGGAGAUAGCUGGUUCUCCCCGAAAGCUAUUUAGGUAGCGCCUCGGACGAAUACUACUGGGGGUAGAGCACUGUUAAGGCUAGGGGGUCAUCCCGACUUACCAACCCUUUGCAAACUCCGAAUACCAGUAAGUACUAUCCGGGAGACACACGGCGGGUGCUAACGUCCGUCGUGGAGAGGGAAACAACCCAGACCGCCAGCUAAGGUCCCAAAGUAUUGCUAAGUGGGAAACGAUGUGGGAAGGCUCAGACAGCUAGGAUGUUGGCUUAGAAGCAGCCAUCAUUUAAAGAAAGCGUAAUAGCUCACUAGUCGAGUCGGCCUGCGCGGAAGAUGUAACGGGGCUAAGCA